rnacentral:rRNA from 1 species
GUGAACGCUGGCGGUAGGCCUAACACCUGCAAGUCGAACGGCAGCACAGUAAGAGCUUGCUCUUACGGGUGGCGAGUGGCGGACGGGUGAGGAAUACAUCGGAAUCUACUUUUUCGUGGGGGAUAACGUAGGGAAACUUACGCUAAUACCGCAUACGACCUACGGGUGAAAGCAGGGGAUCUUCGGACCUUGCGCGAUUGCAUGAGCCGAUGUCGGAUUAGCUAGUUGGCGGGGUAAAGGCCCACCAAGGCGACGAUCCGUAGCUGGUCUGAGAGGAUGAUCAGCCACACUGGAACUGAGACACGGUCCAGACUCCUACGGGAGGCAGCAGUGGGGAAUAUUGGACAAUGGGCGCAGGCCUGAUCCAGCCAUACCGCGUGGGUGAAGAAGGCCUUCGGGUUGUAAAGCCCUUUUGUUGGGAAAGAAAAGCAGCAGGUUAAUACCCCGCUGUUCUGACGGUACCCAAAGAAUAAGCACCGGCUAACUUCGUG